rnacentral:rRNA from 1 species
UUUGGAGGGCAAGUCUGGUGCCAGCAGCCGCGGUAAUUCCAGCUCCAAUAGCGUAUAUUAAAGUUGUUGCAGUUAAAAAGCUCGUAGUUGAAUUUCGGGAUUAGUACGUUGGUCGUGCCUCCGGUAUGUACUGGCUUUACUGAUUCCUCCCUCUUGAAGAACCGUAAUGCCAUUAAUUUGGUGUGGCGGGGAAACAGGACUGUUACUUUGAAAAAAUUA